rnacentral:lncRNA from 1 species
AUUGAUUCUUUUUUUUUUGUUGAUUGCGUUUCUUUUGAAAAAUAAACAUGCUAUGAUGCACAUGAUGCAGACACGAUUGGCAAGCUGUGCAUAUCUGGACGCAGGAUCGAAGCUUCGGCUCGAACUCUGAUCACAACCAUCUGAAACCCCAAAGUCAACUGGUCAACUGUCAUCUGAACCCAAUCUGAGGAACCGAGUC